AGGUAACCCACAACUUUUGAACCUCCCUUAAACCAAAGACUCCCGACUUAGAAGCUAACUAGGCAAUUGCCAGUGGCCAUGGACUGACAGACAAGCCAUCAAAACCAUUUUGGGCCGAGCCUUGGCCCAAUAUCAAAUAGGCCUAAUUUAGUCUUAUUAUUAUUGGCCCAGGAAAACAAACAAAACAAGCUCUCUCUGCGUGUGUGUGAGUGAGUGAGCCGCCCUACUAUGGAAUCCUUAGCCGUCUUCAACUCCUCACACUCACUCAGCUCUCCCUCAGAAGACCACUUCAUCCCAAAGCACCCUCGACCGCCCAAUCUGCAGAGCCCAAGCCCAAGGAGGACAAGCUCUGGGGCGGCCGCUUCGAAGAGAGCAUCACCGACGCCGUCGAGCGCUUCACCGAGUCCAUCUCCUACGACAAAUCUCUCUACAAGCAAGACAUUUUGGGCAGCAAGGCCCACGCUUCCAUGCUAGCCAAACAGGGAUUUAUUUUUCAAUCAUUUCGCCAUACGAAUACGAAUAAUUGAAGUCUACAACUACAACUGUCUAUCCAAACUGGAAACAGAUCCAUACGUCACUAUUGCGUGCAAAUAUUUUCGCUGCCGUUGGUUGCUUUAACCAGCACCAACCAUCACUCUCAUUGGAUCGUUGAAAACCCGUCAAAUCCUAAGCUUAUUCGAUCAAUUUGUCUCCUCCUGUUUUGGUGACACCUAUCCUAUUACAGGCUUGUAGCUAACUACAAAUUGUCCCUAUCUUUGUUCUUUGGAAGUGGACGACGAAAGCAAACUUGGCCUCGAUAAUUUUAGUAUGGCCAUGAGAUCUGGUUGGCCAUAAGAGCUCGUCAUGUUUUAUAAUAUUAUCGGGGAUUUAUAAAUCAUUGAUUGCUUCUUCUUUUUUUCAUUAUCAAAUCAAAUAAAUAAAUAAAUAGUCUGUCGUGGAGGAAACUAUUAUUUAA